rnacentral:rRNA from 1 species
UGGGGAAUUUUGGACAAUGGGCGCAAGCCUGAUCCAGCCAUGCCGCGUGCGGGAAGAAGGCCUUCGGGUUGUAAACCGCUUUUGUCAGGGAAGAAAUCUUCUGAGUUAAUACCUCGGGAGGAUGACGGUACCUGAAGAAUAAGCACCGGCUAACUACGUGCCAGCAGCCGCGGUAAUACGUAGGGUGCAAGCGUUAAUCGGAAUUACUGGGCGUAAAGCGUGCGCAGGCGGUUUUGUAAGACAGAGGUGAAAUCCCCGGGCUCAACCUGGGAACUGCCUUUGUGACUGCAAGGCUUGAGUGCGGCAGAGGGGGAUGGAAUUCCGCGUGUAGCAGUGAAAUGCGUAGAUAUGCGGAGGAACACCGAUGGCGAAGGCAAUCCCCUGGGCCUGCACUGACGCUCAUGCACGAAAGCGUGGGGAGCAAACAGGAUUAGAUACCCUGGUAGUCCACGCCCUAAAACGGAUGUCAACUGGUUGUUGGGAAGGUUCCUUCUCAGUAACGUAGCUAACGCGUGAAGUUGGCCGCCUGGGGAGUACGGCCGCAAGGUUG